AGCGAACGCCGGCGGCAGGCUUAACACAUGCAAGUCGAGCGGGCAUCCUUGUGGUGUCAGCGGCAGACGGGUGAGUAACGCGUGGGAACGUGCCCUUCGGUUCGGAAUAACUCAGGGAAACUUGAGCUAAUACCGGAUACGUGCGAGAGCAGAAAGGUUUAUCUGCCGAAGGAUCGGCCCGCGUCUGAUUAGCUAGUUGGUGAGGUUAUGGCUCACCAAGGCGACGAUCAGUAGCUGGUCUGAGAGGAUGAUCAGCCACACUGGGACUGAGACACGGCCCAGACUCCUACGGGAGGCAGCAGUGGGGAAUAUUGGACAAUGGGGGCAACCCUGAUCCAGCCAUGCCGCGUGAGUGAUGACGGCCUUAGGGUUGUAAAGCUCUUUUCUCCGGGACGAUAAUGACGGUACCGGAGGAAUAAGCCCCGGCUAACUUCGUG
rnacentral:rRNA from 1 species